UUUCACGCCCUAGUGGCGGACGGGUGAGUAACGCGUGGGUAACCUGCCAUAUACAGGGGGAUAACACUUAGAAAUAGGUGCUAAUACCGCAUAAGCGCACAGGGGCGCAUGCCCCGGUGUGAAAAACUCCGGUGGUAUAUGAUGGACCCGCGUCUGAUUAGCCAGUUGGCAGGGUAACGGCCUACCAAAGCGACGAUCAGUAGCCGGCCUGAGAGGGCGGACGGCCACAUUGGGACUGAGACACGGCCCAAACUCCUACGGGAGGCAGCAGUGGGGGAUAUUGCACAAUGGGGGAAACCCUGAUGCAGCGACGCCGCGUGAGUGAAGAAGUAUUUCGGUAUGUAAAGCUCUAUCAGCAGGGAAGAAAAUGACAGUACCUGACCAAGAAGCCCCGGCUAACUACGUGCCAGCAGCCGCGGUAAUACGUAGGGGGCAAGCGUUAUCCGGAUUUACUGGGUGUAAAGGGAGCGUAGACGGUUAUGUAAGUCUGGAGUGAAAGCCCGGGGCCCAACCCCGGGACUGCUUUGGAAACUGUGUAACUGGAGUACAGGAGGGGCAGGCGGAAUUCCUGGUGUAGCGGUGAAAUGCGUAGAUAUCAGGAGGAACACCGGCGGCGAAGGCGGCCUGCUGGACUGAAACUGACGUUGAGGCUCGAAAGCGUGGGGAGCAAACAGGAUUAGAUACCCUGGUAGUCCACGCC
rnacentral:rRNA from 1 species